rnacentral:misc_RNA from 1 species
UACAAAGAGAAUGUUUGUCUCCUGUGGCAGAAGUCAGAAAUUAAAAACACAAACAAAAAUUAUCCCAAAGAAAAUGUAUACUAGAAUCUCCAGAGAAUUGGCCACCCAGCCCACUCUCACUCUAGUCUCUGCAGAUAAUCAUACAAAGUUACUAACUAGAAACCAAUCAAAUGUACCAUCAAAACUGAUAUAUUAAUUGAAACAUAAAGUGCAAAGAAAAGAAUCAAAAUUUUAUUCAGAAGAUAAGAAAAAGAAGAGAUUCCAUUCUAGUAAUUUCUACACAGGAGAAUUUGGACAAUAUCAAAACCAAUACAAAUUAAAGCCCACACAUUAAUAUAUACCUCUGUCAGACACAAAUAAGCUUACUUUACUUUUUCAUCUGUCCCAAAUUAUAGGCCACUUUAUUUUUUCAAACAGUAGUUUAUUUAUUAGUUCACUAAUAUGCCCCUAUUUAAUAUGCAUUGAAAUAAUAAAAUUCAUUAGUUCCAAAAAUAAUUUAAUAACAUGAGCUAUUUCAUUUUUAGUGGAGCAACAUGAGUGGAGGGUAUAUUAGGAAAAGAUUCCAAAAUUUUAUUGCUUUAGCUAUAUUAGCUACAUUUUUUUUAAACUAUAUGAAAAUAGAAGUAAGUCUAUCUUUGUGGGACGGAGGGAGUAGUUUACGAUCCUAAAACCAGAAAAUGAGAUUGCUGUCAGUAAAUAAAUAAUAUCACCAUCCAUUAAAAAAACCAAGUGCCAAAGUUGUUAUUGAGGUAAAAUCUCAAUGACUAAAAAGUCACAAAAAUGAGAGAACUUAUUUCAUGCUAAGCUUUCCCAAUAGAUAAUGAAAGCAAGAGAGAACGUGCAGAAACUUCUCAAGUUUCCACAACUGGUAGAUAAUAAAAGAUUGACUGUAUAUAAUAAGCUAUGUGACAUUAUCAUUAACAGCAAUAGAAGAGAAGAUUCAAGUAAGCACCUACCGAGCUCAACAUCCCUAUCAACUCCAUAUUCAACAACAAAACCGUGAUGAGAAUCUAGAGUUAAUCCACCAACUUCAGGAAAAAAAACUACAAGGAAAAUUAAUCAUAAAAAAUCAGUUCUACAAAAAUAUUAUGAGACUCUUUAUUUGCAUUCUAGUUCCCAACUGAAUAUAGAUAUAUUACCUUUAGACAUAGGACGUAUAUAUUCAUCCAUCAAUUUGUCAAGAAUGGUUUCCAGCCCAAAGUCAUCUAGAACAGCACCAUACUUGUUCAUUGUGUUUGGACGCAUUAUUCUGAAUUUUGUAUCAUGAACCCAUCUUUCAAAAUUUUCUACCUCAGACAUCAACAUUUCACAGAAACUUGGCUGAAACAUUUCAAAUACAUAAACUCCUGGCGUGGGUUCCACCAAUAUACUUCUAAAACUCUCAUCAGUUUUUUCAUUAAUUGCUUUGAGAAAUGAGGGAACAAAGAAGUUAACAGCAUUCAUGGUAUACAACUCCCCAUGUAGAGGCUGAUAGUUUGAUAUAAUCUUCUGCCUGUAUUCUCUAUGUUUUUGAAUCUGCCAGUUUACAACAAGAAACGAUGAGCAACAGAUUUUGACAAAUAAGAAAAGAAAGCAACACUUAAAAAGAAAAAGAAAAAGAAAAUGAUAGAAACAAUAAUUAGCAAACCAAAGGGGUCUGAAAUUACAUGAAACUUAUCGAUUUCCAAGACAUUAAGAUUGUAGGGAAGUUACAUGGACACCAUUAUUUGAAAUUAAUAUUAAAUAAUACAAAAUAACUAAUUUGCGAAGAGGCUUUAAUUUUUUUAUACAAUCUCCACAUCAAUUAAUACAAAUUAGGGGGACCCCCCUAAUUUGUAGGAGGAAAUUGCCGGGAAUUAAAAGCAAAUGUGAGUCAGAGUACAGAUAACAAAUUUUAAAAGUAGGGGGAAAAAAUCAAAGCCCAUUCUAACACAAAUUUCACUUUCUUUUCAUAGGUGAUGGCAGUAUCCAUCAGACACGAAACAUUUAAAGCACAUCCCCACAAUAUUAAGGGUGUUUAUCAGAAACUUCUUUCAAUAAAUAAAUAAUAUUUCGAAGCCAGAACUCUAAAAUAAAGCUAUACUAUGCCUGAUUUAGCAGACGUAGGUUUAUCGAUUAUUCAGAACCUGGUCUCCUACACCAAACAGAAAAAGAUGAAUUACACUGCAAAUUAUUAAAGCAGAAUAAGAGUUAUCAGGAAUUACUCUUUGAAUCAGCAUUCCAACUUAGCCUAAGUAUCUUCAAGGGGAAAAUAUCAAUUUUCAUAUACUUUCAACUCAAGCAGCGAAAUAGAAUCUCGCCCAAACAGCAAAUUGUCAAAAUUUUCAUUUCUCCCCCAUUCAAUUGCUCGCUAUUCCACAAAUUACAGUACAGCUUUAACACACAUACAUAUAUACGCAUAGAUAAUGUAUAUGCAUAUGUACAUGAAUAGUGGCGUAAAUUAAGAUACUAAACCGAUGCAUACACGAGUGCGUUCACCCUCGGGAGAGUAGCGACCGAGAAUGUCCCUCAUGAACUGGAUUUUAGCUUCACGUGACAAAUUAAGCAUGGAAGGAGGCAAGUACCGCUCUAGCGAGCUGAACAGUAAAGGACUGAAAUCCGAUUGCAGGUCCUCAUAGCUAUCGGGUUUGUGAUCGGUGCUAGGGUUCAACCUUAGCCUGUGUGCUACCUGAGUAGAUAGUGCGACGCCAUUUCCAUUCCCACUGGGCUUCUUGUGCUCAUCUAGCGACAUUGUUAGAAUAGCUAUGUUGAUUUUGAUUUCACAGAGAGAGCCUGUGGUUGAGAAUUUGCAUACCAGUUCUCGUUUAGCAGAGGCAGAGGGUGGAAUUAGGGUUUGCUGAGUGAGAGAGAAGGGAAAAGCAGAAGGUUGUUUGUCGUGCAGGUUAGGGUUUGUAAUUGUCGUCUGUAAGUAGGUUGGAUUGGAUCGU